GGGAAGGUAGCUCAGUGGUAGAGCACUUGUCUUGCAUGCAUGAGCCCUGGGUUCGAUUCCUCAGCACCA
rnacentral:tRNA from 1 species